AGAGUCCCGCGUACCACACACACAAAAAAAGCUGUUCUGUGAUACCCUUUGCCCCCACUCACCCCUUAAAUUUGAAGUAUUAUAAUGCUGCCCUAGGUUAUAUUGAAAAUGAUAUCAGAGUUAUGAAAUUAGGUGAAUGAAUGAAUCCACACAUGUUGAAGGAGAAAAUAUUUAAAGGCACUAUAUAUAAAGCUGAGGGGGACAGAUAAAAAGCUAAAUAAAACACAAUCCUUGGGAUCAUGAUAAAUAAAACAUAGUCUUUGUGCCCUACAGGCUACAGAAUAUCCAGGCAGCUAGGGAGCAUAAAAGCUGCUUUCCAAAUUUAGAUGGCAAUUUUAGAUGUGUUGCAGGAUGUCAACUAUUCUCAAGUGUGCUAAAGUCCAAUUCUGCUGACCGAGCAUCUACGCAAAUGACCAGGCAGUCUCUUCAGAGUCAUCUUUAUGAAGGUUGGUUAACUUUUAUGAGGAUUGGUCUCUUCACCUGUGAAAUGGAGUAGUUUUAUAGUCCUGGGGCCAGCAGAAUCCGCAUCACCUGGGAACUUGCUAGAAGUGGGGCCACCCCAGAAGAGAACCCAGCAUUGUGUGUUGUAACCAGCCUUUCAGUGUAAAAAGUGGAUAGUGGCUCACAUGUCAAAGGAUGGCACGGUCACGCUCUAGAUCCCCCAGGUGGAGGCACAGGUCUUUAUCACCAGUACCUAGAAAUUCUGAACACUACAAGCAAAGACCUGAGCAUUAUGGCUAUGAAUAUAGGAAGGAUCCAAAAAGACCUGUCACUUGGAGAAUGGACAAUGAGAAACAUGGACAGAGUAAACCAAGGAUUCCUUCUCGUGAAACUCUACAUUACCGAUCUUAUGAACAUAGAUCAUCUUCCCCAAACAUAAGAAGAAACUCUUUAGAAAAUUUUUAUACUUAUAAGCCUCCCCAAGUAUAUUUACCAGGAAGAGGGGAUGAUAGUAACAGAAGAUCUCAGUAUAUGCCCAAAUACUCAGAAGGUGUACUCUACAAGGAGCACCAGAGGAAUUGUUAUCCCCAGAAAGUGCAAGGAAGGUAUUUUCCUGAUGACCACAGAGUUAGAGGAAGUGGAAAAGGAGGGAAACCACCUCUGAGGUCAAUAGCAGAUUCUUUUAGAUUCGAAGGACAGUGGCAUGAAGAUGAAUUGAGGCACCAGAGGAUACAAGACGAAAAAUAUUCUCAGUCACUUAGAAGAGGCUCUGAAGAUUUUGAGAAAAGGAGCUCUUUUCAGACGAGGUAUCCUGAGGAUCGUGAUUUCAGAAAAUAUGGACACACAUCAAAAAGACCUCAAGACGUGGAGAGGUAUGAAAACAGAGAGCCUCCCAGGAGCCCGCAGUGGAAGUCCAGGCAUUUUCUCCCUUCUUACCAAGAGAAGAAAGAUCAAUGGAACCUUGGACCCCAAACUCUUCGAUAUGCUCCGAGGGAAUUCCCAGAGACCAGUUCAGCAGCCAAGGUAUCCUGUGACUAUCGCCACAAACAUCGUAAGACCUCAGAUGGGGACCAGGACUUUUAUGAUGGAAGAACUCAGAAGUACUCUAAGGAGGAAGAUAGAAAAUUCGGUUCUCAAAAAGGCCCUGUAAAUAGAGAGUCCGAUUGCUUUAAUGCUGGAAGAGGGAGAGAGACUGAAGGUGGGCAAGUCAAAGAGCCUUUUAAGCCAUCUAAGAAAGACUGCACUACCUGCACUCAUUCAGAUAAAAGCGACGUUGGUUUGAGACCCUGUAAUGACAAACGGAAGGACAAAAUAAAGAAAGAAGGGGCUGGCAGAAAAGAGAGCAACUCUUCCCAUAACCGACUUGAUAAGAGUAAAAAACUUUCUGACUCGAAACCUUCAUCUUCCGUUCUUCGGAAGAAAUCACUUACAGUUAAAGUAGAUGUGAAGAAAACAUCCAGGGUUGCUUCUAGCUAUUCCACAGAGAGACAGAUGUCACAUGAUUUGGUUGCUGUUGGCAGGAAAAGUGAAAACUUUCAUCCAGUGUUUGAACAUCUUGACUCAACUCAGAAUACUGAAAACAAACCUACAGGAGAAUUUGCUCAGGAAAUCAUAACUAUAAUCCAUCAAGUUAAAGCAGAUUAUUUUCCAUCACUUGGAAUUACUCUACAUGAGCGUUUCUCAAAAAUGCAAGUUACACAAGCUGCAGAUGUAAAUGAAUUUAAAUUGAACUCAGAUCCAGAAAUUCACAGGAGAAUAGAUAUGUCUUUGGCCGAGCUUCAGAGUAAACAAACUAUGGUAUAUGAUUCAGAACAGACUCUGGUCAAAAUAAUAGAUCCAAAUGACCUACGACAUGACAUUGAAAGAAGGAGAAAAGAACGGUUACAGAAUGAAGAUGAGCACAUUUUUCACAUAGCUAGUGCUGCAGAGAGGAGUGAUCAGCAUUCCAGUUUUACAAGGUUGAAGAAUACUCAUGUUGAUGGAUUCCAAAAAUCUACAUGUUUGGUAAAAUCAAAUUUUAGAAAAUUUAUUCAGAAACCUUACUUGAAUUAUCAUACUAUGCAGAGAAAAGACGUCAUUACUCACAAACCAUUUGGAAUUGAGGGAAACCAUCAAAAUACAAGAGGCUUUAGAAGAACUUUUAAGACCAACUUUAGAGGUGGCACAUUUCAGCCCCAGUAUAAAUCAGGCCUACUACAGAAGAGCUUGUGCAUUCAGGCUAAAUAUCAGCGUUUACGGUUUGCUGGUCCAAGCGGAUUUAUCACUAAUAAAUUCAGAGAAAGAUUACUGAGGAAAAAAAAGGAAUAUACAAACAUUGCCCCAGCAAUCUAAUCUGGAAUUGUUACAAGUGGAAAUGACACUACAGGAUGAUAUUUGGGAGCAUCUUUUUGUCAAGAGUUAGAAUUGGCACUAAAGCACUAAUACUGCCCUCCUCUGGCCCUGGAAGACAAAGGUAAUAAGACACAGUUCCUGCUCUGAGACACCUAAUCGACUGUUGGGGAAGACAUUCACAGAAACAAAGAACUGCAACCUAUAGUGUGAAGUGCUAUACCGAACAUAAUAUACUAAAGGUUGAGAGAGAAAUUGGCAUUCCUGGUUGAGCAUCCCCUGGUCACAUUUCUUUCUUAUUGGUUUCACAGACCUCAAGAGGCACUAUUCCAUUGGUGGUUUUGCUGGUUUUAAAAUUUGAUGGGUUGGGGGAAAUUGGGUAAAGCAUACAUGGGAUCUCCGGAUUAUUUCUUAUAGCUACAUGUAAAUCUACGAUUAUGUCAAUGUAAAUUUCAGUUUUUAAAAAAUCAGCCAUAAUCUUAUCACAGAUAAAACUACUAUAAAUAUUUUGGAGGAUACAUUUUUUUCUGUUGGAAAAAACUAUUAUAUUUACAUUAUAAUAAUUUAUGUAGAUGCAUCAUGUGGACCAUCUUUUACCCAAUAAAUCCUACAUUUUUCAGUAGUUUUUAGAAAAAGGAUGGGGAUACUUUCAGGUGGAAGGAAGCAGGAAAAGUAAAGCUGGAUCAGAAACUCUCCUUUUCCAUUAUCUGGCAAACUCAGUAACCGGCAGCCACAGAUUCACCAGCAGCAACCGAACAAGGAAGCACGGAGAAGAUGCCAAUGCAGCAAGGUGAGGUGUGACUCGCAGGCCCCCUCCACCCCUUAAGUAGCACUGAGCGAAGAAACUGGAGUGAUGUGGAGCCCUGGUAUGUACAAAGGGACUGGUGCGGUGACCAGGUCAUACAGAGGAGAGUCAAGGAAAAUCCUUGGGAAGGUGAGGGCUUUGCUUCUGUCUCAGGACUUCAGGGAAAGGGGAAAGAUUCACCAGGACAAGGCGUUCUCUGGGUUGCAGAGCAGCCUGGGGAAGCCAAAGCUCACAGGAUAAGAUACACCUUUUGGUCCAGUGAGCACCAGUUCUGGACACUUAAUGGGAACCCAGACGAGAGAGGAUACCAGGUUCCCCAACGAAGUCCCACCAAAAGGAAUGGUUAUUAGCUCUGAAUCCGUUAAAAUAUACAACUAAGGUUUUAAAACUGAGGAAUCAGAGAUGUAGAAUAGAAUGUGAAUGUUAUAAAUCGUGACAAAAAUGGAAGUACGUUAAUCAGUCGGGACAUGGUGGAGGUGGGGUGAGGUGGGGUAGGGGAAAAUGGGAUGAAUUCUAAGAACUAACCACCUCAUCUUUCAUGGGCAGGUGUCAUGUCAAGUUAUGGUGUCUAAGAUUGUAUUAUAUAAAAUAGAAAAAACGUAGGGUCCAACCUUAAGUUUUUCAGUCUUUUUCUUGACCUUAAUGCAGUGGUUCUCAAAGUAUGGUUCCCCAACCAUCAGCAUCACCCGUGAACUUGUUAGAAAUGCAGAUUCUUGGCCCCACCCCUGACCUACUGAAUCAGAAGCUCGGGGGGUGGGGCCCAGCACAGUCUGGUUUUUUUAAAAACGGAUAUUAUGUAUGUAUGGAUGGAUGGAUGGAUGGAUGGAUGGAUGGAUGGAUGGAUGGCUGUGUUUGGUCUUUUGUUGCUGUGCGUGGGGUUUUCCUGGUUGCAGUGAGUGGGGGCCACUCUUCAUUGUGGUGCUCAGGCCUGUCAUUGCGGUGGCUUCUCUUGUUGUGGAGCACAGGCUCCAGGCACGCGGGCUUCAGUAGUUGUGGCAUGUGGGCUCAGUAGUUGUAGCUCACGGGCUCUAGAGCGCAGACUCAGCAGUUGUAGCGCACGGGCUUAGCUGUUCCGCGGCAUGUGGGAUCUUCCCGGACCAGGGCUCGAACCCAUGUCCCCUGCAUUGGCAGGCGGAUUCUUAACCACUGCGCCACCAGGGAAGUCCCCAGAAGUCUGUUUUAACAAGCCCUCCAGGGAAUUCAGAUGCUCGCUCAAGAGUUUGAGAAUCACUGGCUUACUUAGGUCUUUUAGGAACCAGCAGACCUUAUGAUGAAAAAAUAUUAAUCUGAAGUUGAGCAGCACCUUCAGUUUCAUUUCUAAUUUUUUUCUGUAGCAUUCAAAUAAAUUUAACUAAAACUUUUAAAGAUAAAAAGUAUAUCAGUUUUCACCAUCAGUAGUGUCUGUACAUGAAUAGAGAGGUCCAGACAUAUGCCCACCCACUGUUAACACAGAUGGUUUUUUAAGUGGUGGGAUUAUGAGUGACUCUUUGUGCUUUUCUGUAUUCUGGUUGAAUAUAAUGAACAUUGUAUCAUUUUUAUAAA